AAUAGAUACCCUGGUAGUCCACGCCGUAAACGUUGGAUACUAGGUGUGGCGUCCCGAUCAACGGAUGCCGUGCCGAAGCUAACGCAUUAAGUAUCCCGCCUGGGAAGUACGGCCGCAAGGCUAAAACUCAAAGGAAUUGACGUGUCCCCGCACAAGCGGCGGAGCAUGCGGCUUAAUUCGAUGCAACCCGAAGAACCUUACCUGGGUUUGAAAUCAUGGGAAAAGCUGUAGAAAUACAGUGUCCGUAAGGGCCCAUGACAGGUGGUGCAUGGCUGUCGUCAGCUCGUGUCGUGAGAUGUUGGGUUAAGUCCCGCAACGAGCGCAACCCUUAUCCUAUGUUGCCAGCGGUUCGGCCGGGGACUCAUAGGAGACUGCCGGGGAUAACUCGGAGGAAGGUGGGGAUGACGUCAAGUCAUCAUGCCCCUUAUGUCCAGGGCUUCACGCAUGCUACAAUGGCCGGUACAGAGGGCUGCGAUCCCGGUGAGGGGGAGCGAAUCCCUAAAAGCCGGUCUCAGUUCGGAUUGGGGUCUGCAACUCGACCCC
rnacentral:rRNA from 1 species